AACGGCCAUACCAUGCUGAAUAUACCGGUUCUCGUUAGAUCACCGAAGUCAAGCAUCAUUGGGCGCGGUCAGUACUUGGGUGGGUGACCACCUGGGAACACCACGUGCUGUUG
rnacentral:rRNA from 1 species